rnacentral:rRNA from 1 species
UACAGAGGGGGCGAGCGUUAUUCGGAAUUAUUGGGCGUAAAGGGCGCGUAGGCGGCUUUUCAAGUGACGGGUGAAAUCCCUCGGCUUAACCGGGGAACUGCCUGUCAGACUGGAAGGCUUGAGACCGGGAGAGGUGAGUGGAAUUCCCAGUGUAGCGGUGAAAUGCGUAGAUAUUGGGAGGAACACCAGUGGCGAAGGCGGCUCACUGGACCGGUACUGACGCUGAGGCGCGAAAGCGUGGGGAGCAAACAGG